rnacentral:rRNA from 1 species
UACGAAGGGGGCUAGCGUUGUUCGGAAUUACUGGGCGUAAAGCGCGCGUAGGCGGUGAUCUUUGUCAGAGGUGAAAGCCUGGGGCUCAACUCCAGAAUUGCCUUUGAAACGGGAUUGCUUGAGUCCGAGAGAGGAUGGCGGAAUUCCUAGUGUAGAGGUGAAAUUCGUAGAUAUUAGGAAGAACACCGGUGGCGAAGGCGGCCAUCUGGCUCGGUACUGACGCUCAGGCGCGAAAACGUGGGGAGCAAACAGG